rnacentral:rRNA from 1 species
GACGAACGCUGGCGGCGUGCCUAACACAUGCAAGUCGAGCGAGAGACUUCGGUCUCUAGCGGCGGACGGGUGAGUAACACGUGGGUAACCUGCCUCAUAGAGGGGGAUAGCCUUCCGAAAGGAAGAUUAAUACCGCAUAACAUCAGAUUGUCGCAUGGCAGUUUGAUCAAAGGAGUAAUCCGCUAUGAGAUGGACCCGCGGCGCAUUAGCUAGUUGGUGAGGUAACGGCUCACCAAGGCCACGAUGCGUAGCCGACCUGAGAGGGUGAUCGGCCACAUUGGAACUGAGAGACGGUCCAGACUCCUACGGGAGGCAGCAGUGGGGAAUAUUGCACAAUGGGCGAAAGCCUGAUGCAGCAACGCCGCGUGAGUGAUGAAGGCCUUCGGGUUGUAAAGCUCUGUCUUUGGGGACGAUAAUGACGGUACCCAAGGAGGAAGCCACGGCUAACUACGUGCCAGCCGCCGCGGUAACAC